rnacentral:ncRNA from 1 species
AUACGAUAAUGGCAAACCCGUCGAAAGGCGGGGACGCAAAACUUCCGGUCUAAAGGCUUCGGCCUAUGACAGCGGGGUUACCGAA